rnacentral:lncRNA from 1 species
AAUCUUCCGAAUACUUCUUUUUCUUUUUAUUUCUUCUUCUUUUCUUUUUGAUUUUUCUGUUUUAACUCAGAUCUGGAUGUUAUUUUGUCAUUCUUCUGUGAUUAUUAUUUGUAAAUAUUGUUAAGGCUUAUUGGGUAUGAAUAAUGAGUUUAGAAAGCGAGUAGUUUUGUGUUAUUUAUUAGAGUAAGCCAUACAAUAAUGAUUUAUUUGGGCAACAGAGAAGAAGUAAAAUUGCAGGAGAAGAAGCAGAAGUGAAGGCUGAAGCUUUACGUUUUAUU